UGCUUGGGCAGGUUCCAGGGCAGCGUGUCCCCCGGUGCCGGCGACCCCGUGCCCGACUUCUGGCUGAGGUCUUCCUCCUCGGAGAGAUCGGCGGAGGACGACAUGGAGCAGCGUUUUCCAAUAUGAAUUGCAAGACUUAACCCUGAAGGAAUGUACCUACAUUUGUAGAAGCAAAGUUACUGAAGAUUUCUUAGAAGCGAAAAUAAGAAUUUCAGCUCUGAGCAUCUGGGAAACUACAGCACGCAGAAGGUUUCCUGCUCGCUUAGAUGGUGAGCUUCUACUAAAGGCUGUGUUUCCUCAAGGCGAGGUGCUACACGUCUUCUGGCAUGACGAGGACUUGAUCUAAAGCCCUGCCACAGAAAAAACAACCAUCGUGUUUAACAUCUCCUACAGUAGAGCCACGUAACAACAGAGAAAUCACACAAGAUCUUAACAAGGACAAUAUUGAGAGUCUCCCUUUGGAACAAGUGAAGUCAGUGGGUCAGACGAACCUGGAGUGACUGCUUCUCUCCACUGGCCAUAAAUGAAGCCCAGGAUGACUGCUUCACUCACAGCUGUGCUCCAAGUGUCCAAGGUUAAACAGUAUGAAUCUGACCCAUGAUGAACAUGAGGAAUUUGGUCUGCCUUGGAUCCUCCCAUCUACGUUGUAUCAACAGGCUUCCUUUUAUUUUCCUCUUCCUACAAGAUAACUGCAGUCUUUUUCCAUCAGUUUUGUGUGAGAGUUUUACAUGUCCUUAUUCAUUAACAUAACUCUUUCUGGAUCCACAUAAUUUAGCACAGUAUUCUUAUUAAUUUCUAUUACUGAUAUAUAUAUAAUAGUUUUGUGUGAUUUUCAAUUCCAUUUAAAUAUUUCCCAUCCCAUCUUCUUUUUUGAUCAAGUUAUACAUCUGAUAGAGGUCAUCGAUGAACUGUAAUUCAAAAGAUUCUUUCUGGAGACCAUGACCUUAAAAAUUAACAAAGUCCACAUAUGAUUUUUCUCUGUAAUAUGACCAGCUCUUGAAUAUCAUUAUGUAUUCAUUUAUCCCAUUUUUCAGAAUUUGAUGUGGUCUGGUAUGUGAUAACACUCUGCAGGCUUUAUGUCAUGGCCUAUUUCCCUUCCUACUUCAUUCAUUAAUAUUAAAAACAAGAUUUUGAACCUUCUUAAAUAACGUCCCUAAUUUUUGC